UUUAUUUUGAUACCUUUUUUUUUCUUAUAUGACAUAAAUUGAUUUUUUUUUCGUUGCAGCCUUGUAGGGCAUAUUUUGAUUUCGGGUUCUACUUUUCUGCUAGAAGAGCCAAAGCACGGACGAUCAAGGGCAGAAGCUGUAAACAUGCCCAUUGUUGAGGGCAAAGUCAUAGUUAUGUUUGGCAGAUAUUUAGCGAUCCUUUCUCCAAAGUAUUCUAGAAACAACUACUACAUAUUUUAAUAAUAAGAACAGUUUUCAGUUGUCCUUCAUCUCUCAAGAAUACUUGGCAACACUGCUUUCAUCGUCAUCGGCGGCAACACAAUAACACUAGAAACUAAUAGCAACAGUGAAGAGAUCCAUUUUGAUAAAGUUACGGAAGGUUGUCAUGCGCCGGUGUCUCCGCCAUUUGGACGAUUCAAUGUUGCAGCUCUUCCAUUAUUUGUUAAUUGCAUGAAGUAUUCUAAUCCGUUGGUCAUGGUCUGAUAGUUGUUAUUACUAACGCACUAAAUCUAGGUCUAGNNNNNNNNNNNNNNNNNNNNNNNNNNNNNNNNNNNNNNNNNNNNNNNNNNNNNNNNNNNNNNNNNNNNNNNNNNNNNNNNNNNNNNNNNNNNNNNNNNNNNNNNNNNNNNNNNNNNNNNNNNNNNNNNNNNNNNNNNNNNNNNNNNNNNNNNNNNNNNNNNNNNNNNNNNNNNNNNNNNNNNNNNNNNNNNNNNNNNNNNNNNNNNNNNNNNNNNNNNNNNNNNNNNNNNNNNNNNNNNNNNNNNNNNNNNNNNNNNNNNNNNNNNNNNNNNNNNNNNNNNNNNNNNNNNNNNNNNNNNNNNNNNNNNNNNNNNNNNNNNNNNNNNNNNNNNNNNNNNNNNNNNNNNNNNNNNNNNNNNNNNNNNNNNNNNNNNNNNNNNNNNNNNNNNNNNNNNNNNNNNNNNNNNNNNNNNNNNNNNNNNNNNNNNNNNNNNNNNNNNNNNNNNNNNNNNNNNNNNNNNNNNNNNNNNNNNNNNNNNNNNNNNNNNNNNNNNNNNNNNNNNNNNNNNNNNNNNNNNNNNNNNNNNNNNNNNNNNNNNNNNNNNNNNNNNNNNNNNNNNNNNNNNNNNNNNNNNNNNNNNNNNNNNNNNNNNNNNNNNNNNNNNNNNNNNNNNNNNNNNNNNNNNNNNNNNNNNNNNNNNNNNNNNNNNNNNNNNNNNNNNNNNNNNNNNNNNNNNNNNNNNNNNNNNNNNNNNNNNNNNNNNNNNNNNNNNNNNNNNNNNNNNNNNNNNNNNNNNNNNNNNNNNNNNNNNNNNNNNNNNNNNNNNNNNNNNNNNNNNNNNNNNNNNNNNNNNNNNNNNNNNNNNNNNNNNNNNNNNNNNNNNNNNNNNNNNNNNNNNNNNNNNNNNNNNNNNNNNNNNNNNNNNNNNNNNNNNNNNNNNNNNNNNNNNNNNNNNNNNNNNNNNNNNNNNNNNNNNNNNNNNNNNNNNNNNNNNNNNNNNNNNNNNNNNNNNNNNNNNNNNNNNNNNNNNNNNNNNNNNNNNNNNNNNNNNNNNNNNNNUCAACCUCAGGCAGGGCAAUAUAAUGGUGAAAGACUAUUCUCUAAAGUUUACUCAAUUAGCCAGAUACUCUCCUCAUGUGGUUGCAGACAGUAGAUCUAAGAUGAGUAAGUUCAUUUUAGGGGUAAAUGACAACGUGGUUAAUGAGUGCAGAUCCGCCAUACUAAAUAGUGACAUGACCUUAGCAAGACUUAUGAUCCAUGCUCAGUAGAUAGAAGAGUAGAAAAUUAAGCAGAGAGAAAUAGAAUAAGAGAGCAAAGACAGGUAGUUUCAUCUUUUCUCAGCCUAAAUCAUAAGGAGGAAAUCGUUUCCAAUUUCUUCCUAAGUCAUCAGUUCCAGCUCCCUUUAUAGCCAGUGCUCCAGUUCCUAAGUUCAGAGAGGGUAACAAAGAUAGAGCGCCAGGCUCUAAAAACCAGGGCAAUGUUAAUAGUUCCCGCACCUAUCCUCUUUACCAGACUUGCGGUAAGUACCAUCGGGUGUGUGUAAAGUGGGUAGUGGCAUUUGUUUUGAUUGUGGCAAGCUAGGACCUAGAGUUAGAGACUGUCCUCAGCCAGGUCCUCAGGGUCAACAGAAUCGCUCUUCAGCUCAGUCCGUUCACCAAAUCAGCAGGGUACCACAUCUAGUGCUUCAAGCGGGUAACGCCUAAAUCGUCUCUAUGCUCUUCAGACUCGACAGUAUCAAGAAAAUUCUCCUGAUGUAGUUACUAGUACAUUACAGAUCUUUCAUGUACAUGUGUACGCUUUGCUAGAUCCAGGAGCUUCUUUGUCUUUUGUUGCUCCUUAUAUAGCAGUUGAUUUUGGAAUUAGUCUUGAAAUUCUAGCAGAUCCCUUUUUAGUCUCUACCCUAGUGGGUAAAACCAUCAUAUCCCAGCGGGUAUACAAGAACUGCCCGGUUAUGAUAUUUUAGAAAGUCACUUCAACAGAUUUAGUCGAAUUAAAGAUGACUUAUUUUAAUGUCAUUCUCGGUAUGGAUUGNNNNNNNNNNNNNNNNNNNNNNNNNNNNNNNNNNNNNNNNNNNNNNNNNNNNNNNNNNNNNNNNNNNNNNNNNNNNNNNNNNNNNNNNNNNNNNNNNNNNNNNNNNNNNNNNNNNNNNNNNNNNNNNNNNNNNNNNNNNNNNNNNNNNNNNNNNNNNNNNNNNNNNNNNNNNNNNNNNNNNNNNNNNNNNNNNNNNNNNNNNNNNNNNNNNNNNNNNNNNNNNNNNNNNNNNNNNNNNNNNNNNNNNNNNNNNNNNNNAAAGAAAGACUGUUCUCUUAGGAUGUGUAUAGACUACCGUCAACUCAAUAAAUUCAUGGUUAAGAACAAGUAUCCUCCUCCUAGAAUUGAUGACUUAUUUGACCAACUUCAGGGUGCCAGUUAUUUCUCAAAGAUAGACCUCAGAUCCAGCUAUCAUCAGCUUAGAGUCAGAGAAUGUGACAUUCCAAAAAUAGCUUUCCAUACUCGGUAUAGUCAGUUGAAAUUUCUAGUCAUGUCAUUUGGUCUUACCAAUGCCCCAGCCGUUUUCAUAGACUUGAUGAACCGUGUGUUUAAGUAGUACUUGGACAUGUUCAUCAUAGUCUUCAUAGAUGACAUUUUGGUCUAUUCCCGCAUUGAGUGCAAUCAUACGAACCAUCUUAGAAUAGUAUUUCAGACUCUCAAAAAUCAUCAGUUAUUCGCCAAAUUCAGUAAGUGCAAGUUUUGGAUAAGAUCAGUAGCAUUCCUUGGUCAUAUUAUUUCCGGUGAUGGCAUUAGAGUAGAUCCUCAAAAUACCGAAGCAGUAAGAAACUGGACUCACCUUGUCUCUCCAUCAGAUAUCAGGAGUUUCUUGGGUUUGCUGGCUCUUACAGACGGUUUACUGAGGGAUUUUCUUCUAUUGCAUCCCCUAUGUCCAGAUUGACUUAGAAGAAGGUCAAGUUCCAGUGGUCAGAUCCUUGCGAGAAGAGUUUUCAGGAGUUGAAGACUCGACUUACCUCAGCUCUAGUCUUAGCUCUCCCAGAUGGUUCAGAUGGGUUUGUAGUAUAUUAUGAUGUAUCCAGAGUGGGUUUAGGUUGUGUCCUCAUACAGCACGGUAAGGUCAUAGCCUAUGCCUCCAGAUAAUUAAAGCCCCAUGAGAAGAAUUAUCCUACUCACGAUCUUGAGUUAGCAGCUGCAGUAUUUGCCUUGAAUAUUUAGAGGCAUUAUCUAUACGGUGUUCAUGUAGAUGUUUUCACAGAUCAUAAGAGCCUUCAGUAUAUUUUUUCUCUGAAAGAUCUCAAUCUUCAUCAAAGAAGGUGGUUAGAGCUCUUAAAAGAUUAUGACAUGAGCGUCUUUUAUCAUUUAGACAAGGCUAAUGUAGUGGCCGACGCUCUCAGUAGACUGUCUAUGGGUAGUGUUUCUCAUGUUGAGGACAAUAAGAAGGAGCUAGCCCAGGAAUUCCAUCAUCUUGCAAGACUAGGCAUUCGCUUAGUCGAUGUAGAGGAGGGUGAUGUAUUCAGAGUAGUUCAGAAUUAUCUCUAGUUUCUGAGGUAAAAGAAAAUCAAGACAGAGAUCCCAGCCUAGUCAAGUUGAAAGAGUCAGUUCAAAAUUAAAAAAUUGAGGUUUUCUCCUAAGGAAGAGAUGGUGUUCUUCGUUUUCAGGGUCGUUUGUGUGUUCCAGGUGUAGAUGACUUGAAGCAGUAAAUUCUUGUAGAAGCGCAUGGUGCAUGCUACUCUAUUCAUCCAGGGGCCACAAAUAUGUUCCGUGACUUGCGGGAGAUCUAUUGGUGGAGUGGGAUGAAGAGAGAUAUUGCAGAAUUUAUGGCUAAGUACUCUACAUGUCAGCAGGUUAAGAUAGAGCAUCAGAAGCCUAGUGGUUCUAUGCAAGAGUUCAUUAUUCCUACUUGGAAGUGGGAAGAAGUGAACAUGGACUUAAUGAUGGGUUUGCCUCGAACUCGUCGUCAGCAUGAUUCAGUUUAGGUCAUUAUAGACAGAAUGACCAAAUUAGCCCAUUUUCUUCUAGUUCAUACCUCAUAUUCAAUCGAGGAUUAUGCCAAGCUCUACAUCAAGGAGCUGGUCAGAUUGUACGGUGUUUCAUUGACUAUUAUCUCAGAUAGAGGUACCCAGUUCACCUCUUAUUUCUGGAAAGCAUUCCAAAAGGGUCUUGGUACACAAGCUCACCUUAGUACAACCUUUCAUCCUCAGACAGAUGGUCAAGCAGAAAGGACUAUUUAGACUCUAGAAGAUAUACUAAGAGUGUGUGCAAUUGAUUUCAAGGGUAAUUGGGAUGACCACUUGCCUUUGAUUGAGUUUGCAUACAAUAAUAACUACCAUUCCAACAUUCAGAUGGCUCUAUUUGAAGCUCUCUAUGGUAGAAGAUGUAGAUCUCUAAUUGGUUGGUUCAAAGUUAGUGAGGCCUUAGUUAUAGGGCCUGACAUAGUAUUCGACGCCUUAGAGAAAGUUCAGUUGAUUAAAGAAAGACUUUGGGCUGCUCAGAGCAGACAAAAGUCUUAUGCAGAUGUUCAUAGUAAGGAUCUUGAGUUCGAGAUUGACGAUUAUGUCUAUCUCAAGAUCUCUCCCAUAAAGGGAGUGAAGAGAUUCGGAAAGAAGGGAAAGCUCAGUCCCCGAUAUGUCGGUCCCUUCCAGAUUCUCAGUCAUUUUGGAGAGGAGAGGUAGCUUAUGAGCUCGAAUUGCCUGCAGACCUAGCCUCAGUUCAUCCAGUCUUCUAUGUCUCCUUGCUCAAAAAGUGUAUAGGCUACCCAUCAGUUGUAGUCCCUAUUCAAAGCAUCGAUGUUCAGAACAGCCUCUCUUAUAAAGAGAUUCCAGUUGAAAUCCUAGACUAUCAGACUCGUAGAUUGAGGAACAAAUAGGUCCCUCUAGUUAAAGUCCUUUGGCGAAAUCAGUCCGUUGAGGGAGCCACUUGGGAAACAAAAGCAGAUAUGUGUACAAAGUAUCCUCACCUAUUUCCCGCUAACUUAGAUCAAGCUCAAGGUAAUAGUUCUCCUUAAGCUUACUCAGUUUCAUGUUCAGUAUUUAUCACAAACGUGGUAUUUAAUUUCAUGUUCACGUUCCAGUAUAAACUUAGUGUCAAACACCAUUGCAUAUUUAGUCAUGCAUUCAUGUAUCAACUCAGUUAUGAAAUCAUGCAUUCUCAUUGUGAGAAACUUAGUUUUUUAAGAACACUCAAUUAUGCAUUCAUGAAUCAAUCACACAUGCAUCAGAUAUGUAUGUUCAGUGUUAUAUGCUCAGUUUAUUAGUCAUGUCAGUCAUGAGAUCAUGGUCUAGUUAUUCAUGGUUCAAUUAUUCAUGAUCAGCUUGUUAUUUUCCCUCUCAGUCAGUCUCAUUCGAGGAAGUAUGAUCUCAAGGGGGAGAUAUUAUAAUACCCAUGCCUUUUCUAAGUUUGAAAUCUUCUGAAGGGUGUUUCCUUUGAAAUAUGAAUUUACUUUUAUACACGUGGUAUUUUUAUGAUUUUGACUUUCCAUUACGUGGGAAAUUGUUUAAGCUUUUCAUCGAUACCAAUUUCAUCAAAAUCCGGUGUCAAAUAAAAAAGUUAUGUCCGAAAAACAGAAUGCAGGAAAUUCGCCCAGGCAUGACGGUAUGGCUCGACGGGCCGUCGCAGGUCCGAUGGACAUUUGGAGGCCACUGUCGCAGCAAACCAGUAGACCCAAUUUCUAUUCAUGUCCGGUGGUUUGGCUCGACAGACCGUAGAAGGCCCGACGGAUUGUCAGAGGCCACCGUUAGAGACAUCCAGUAGCAUCACAUUCUGCCCAGGUCCGAUGGUAUAGCCCGACGGACCAUCGCAGGUCUGAUGGACCGUUGGAUGCCAUCUCACACCUUAUGUUCAGCUAAUUUUAUGUCAUUUUAAUGAGGGUAUUUUGGUCAUUUAUCACCCGUCUUUAUAUACCCAUUUAUUCAUAAUUUCAGCCACUUUGGUCAUUAUUAUUUCAUAGGUUUUAUCUUUAAAUUUAAUCUCCAAGAACAAGAUCUAAUCUUCUUCAAGAAUUAAGGGAGUUUCAAUUCUCCAAGUUCAAUAACAUUAUUCCAGGUAUGCAUAGUGUUCAUUCAUGGACCUCUUUCAUCCAUGAAGUCCAAGAAUUCUUUUUCUAAAACUCAAGUUAUGGAUUUUCUUUAUGUUCCCAUGAUUUGGUUGCUUAUGAUCAUGUUGAUAAAUGUGAAAUUGGAUCCUACUCCAUAAGUGUUGAUAAUUUCUAUGUGGGUUUAAUUACUAUAGUUAUAGAUUCAUGCAACCCAAAGAUUUAAACCCUUGAAUGAUGGAAUUAGAAUUGACUAGUGAUAUUUACAUGUAUCAUGCCUGCAAUAUGUUUGAUUAAAUACCUAUAUGAAGGAAUAUUGUUUAACUAUCAUGAAAUCCCCAUCUAUGUAUAAGUUUAUGCCUAUUACAUAUUUUAUGAACUGCUCCUAUGAAUGUAGUAUGUAUUAUAAUGUUAGUCAAGUUUUCAAGUAACUCAUGCCAUGUCAGUUUCCUUCUAUCGAGUCCUGGGGUAUUUGUACCCAAAAUAUUAGUUGUGUGCUAUAACGUCCUAAUUUUCUGUAAUCGAAACGUCACACGGUGCUUAUGAUCUCGAAGGACUAUAAGCUAACCCUCUUUUGAUAUUUGUACCUGUUCACUGCAUAAUAUAAUAAAAUACAUGCAGAAAAAAACUUGCCAUAAAGUUCAAAAUAUCUAAAAUACAUAAUUUUGCAAACUGAAUACUCAUACAACUAUCCGAAAAGCUACUAACUAUCUGAACUGUGGAGUUGAUGGUACAUGUCCCCAACUAAAUCUAUCUAGUAAAAUAAACUAAAUAUAAUAAUGCACUGAAAUAAUAACCACCCUCAGAAUAUGAGGACUACUGCUGGGUACUGAACUGCUACUGUUGAUUUGGAACUCGCGUCUCUGAAUCUAUGGUGUCAAACAAAAUAACAACACCAUAGAGCAAAUGCGUCAGUAUAUUAGAAUAUAUUGAGUAUGCAAAUAAGGUAAGGCUAAAUGCAAAGGCUUAUUUAUGGACAUUACUUAACUGAAUAAUAUGUAAUAGAUGGAUUAGCAUACAUAAAGAAUCUGUAACUACUGAUCAUACUGUGCAUACUGUCACUAAGCAUAAUAAGACUAACUCUGGUAACUGAUACUGAAUAUGCUAAAAUACUGGAAUUUCUGAACAUACUGAUAUUUCGAGUAUCUGAAGCUACCGAAACUGAUAGCAACCCUAUCUAACAUGUCUCCGGAUCUACUAAUAUUAAGAAUAAUUGACUGAAUCUGAGAUCAACCCUAUCUAGUAGGAGUCUCUGAAUCCAUGGAUAAUAAUAGUUAAUUAACUGAAUCUGAGAUCGGCCUAUCUAGCAGUGGAUCUUCGAAUUUACAAAUAAUUAUACUAGAUGUCCUGUAUCUAACAACCUUGAAUUCUAUACACUGAACUAAGCUUUUUCUUGAAAUCUGAGACUGAUUAUGAAACUGAAACUAUAGAAAGUAUUCAUCUAACCGACAUGCCCCAUCUAGCUAAGUCGGGGUCCAACCUGUACCCCAGUUGGAAAGGGGAUGUCAGUACCGCGCCACUAGUAAAGACAACUUUACAUAACCCUCAUCUAUCAAGUACUCAAACGAGAAUGGUGGGGCCCUUAUCUAAACAUUCAAGCCAUCUCAUCUACCCUCAACUAUCAGGUAUGAUGUCUCAACCUACGCUGGCGACAUAGUUCUGAAGCACAAGGAUUGCUGCUAAGAAUCAUACCCUCUACUAGUAGGUGAGUUCCCAUCCUUGAACUCACUCGGUGCUGAAUCCAAAUCCCAACUGAAAGACACUAACCUGUUUCUUAACUGAUCUUAAACUAAGCUGAAUCUGUUAGUGAUCACAUUACUUGGUUUAUCUGACUGAGUUAGCUUGAUUCCAUUUCUGACUGAAUACUACUGAAUUCUACAGAGUUUUCGUAUAUUACUGAACUUUACUGAAGCCUUGACUGAAUACUAAAUACUGCUGAGAUCUGAACUGAGUACUAAGCUUGAUUAGACUGAACACUGAGAUUACAGAGUUUUCUUACUGUUCUAUCACUGACUAAAUUUUACUAAUCAUAGCACGACUGAGAUUAUCAUGAGACUGACUCGGCUCUAGACACACAACUAUAUUUUUCGGGUACAAGUACCUCCAGGACUCGAUAGAAGAAAACUGACAAGACAUAUUACUUCUUGAAUACAUAUCCAACAUCAACAAUUUAUACUACAACCGUUGGGGAUACUUCGCGAAGUAUAUGAUUAUCAUAAUCUUAUUCAUGAAUGGAAAGGAAUAUAAACAUAUCAUAGCUUCACCCAUCUCAUCUCAUGAAGCAUUCAUAAUGCACAUAAUACAAUGAAAGUUAUUCUUAGUCAUAAGUGAGAACUUAAAUCAUGGAUUAGAAACCCAAUCAUAUAUAUAUAUAUAUAAGAGGAUUAAGAAUCUGCUGAUGUGGCACCCUCCAAUGAGCAGUAUUGGUAUUUAUCUAUUUUGUCCUUUUUUUGACUUCUUUACUUGAAUUUUCCUUUUAAAAAAUAUCAAAAGAAAAACAAAUCAGUUACCUACACAGAAUCCAACAGUCAGCUUAUUAAAUUUUAGUAACUGUUGGAAAAAGGAUGAGAAGAACCAGUCGAUUUUCAUGGAAAACGCCUCUAUUCCAAUAGUUAAUAGACGAAAUAGGGAAAAUGAGGAGAAGAACCAGUAGGUUUUUGGAUUGCAAUUCUGUAUUCCAACAGUUCUUUGUUUCAUCAAAUUUGUGCAAAUUUCUAUUGGCUAAUACUUGUGCACUCCUUUUUUCAGGUUUUACCAAUUUUUCUCAACCAUCAAAUCUCCAUUGCACAUUUGUUCUUUCUGAUUUCAACCGAUCUCUUAGAUUUAUAAACUUAUUUUGACAAAGCACUUAGGAUGCAUGAAUUUAUACAUACUUAGGAUUUCUUCUUCUCAUACUAAAACAACUCUAUUUCCUUCAUAUAACCAUUCUAUCAAACACUUGAAUGUCAUGAAUUAGUAUUCUUGUUUACAUAAUAUAAUUUCUCUUAUUUAAUUCAUAUGAAUAAUUUACCACAUACUUGAAAGGCAUAGUAAUUAUACAUAUUGUUAAUCAACAUAUAAAUAUAACUAUCUAAGGCUCUAACAUGAAUUCAUAUAGUACUACACUCAUAAUUAUUUAUCUCACCUAAAUCAUGUACUUAAAUCAUGGAUUAGAAACCCAAUCAAAGUGAUAAUUAUGAAUACACUUAAAUAAAGUCAUAUAUUAAAUACCAAUCAUGUGGUUCAAGAACUCGACAUGACAUCCAUACUUAACAUACUAAAAUUAUAAUAUUUUCUUCAUAUAAGCAUUUUAUCAAACAUGUUGGGAGCAUGCUUUAGUUAUUCAACAACUGCUACUUCUAAAUGUCAUAACUCCAUCAACUAAUUCAUCACACAAAUAUUUCAACAUGAUAUGGUCAUGAUUCAACAUACAUGGAAAAUAUGAUUAUUUCCAACAUCAAUUAUUAUAUAACAACAUCACACUAAUUAACAUAAUUACAUAAUUCAACAUGCUUCUUGAAAAGAUUUUAUCAUGAACAUAAUAAGAUCAACACAUACUAGGGUCUAAACUUGAGUCUUUAUCAUCAACACAUGACUUUAAUUUCAAAAACAUCAAGAGCUUUAGUUUCAAACCACAUGAAUCAUAAAAAAACAUAAUCUUCGAAUUUAGGAAAAAGGAUUCUUGAGCUUCUUGGGUGAAAGGAACCCAAGAAUCAACACUUGCAUACCUCAAGUUUAUGAAUCCGGAUGAACUCUUGACUCGGAAACUCUAUUCGUAAGAUUGAUAGGUGCUCCUUGUAGCUCUCGCAAUGGGAAUUCCGAAUCUUAAAUUAUUUUUGAGUUCCUACGGUUGUAUUUUGAGGGAUCUUAAUUUUUGUUUUAGGAUUGAGACAUGUUGUUCUUAAGUAUUUUUAGAAUAAGGGCCAUAUUUUGGAUGAAAAUAUGCCAAAUCUUGUGUUAAAGGGGUAUAUAUAGGGGUGGAAGAUGACCAAAAUUCCCCUAAGAAAACAAUUAAGGUCACAUCUGACCCUCGGUUGCCGGUUUGAUAUACUGAAGUAAAUUGGCUGUAACUUUUUACUUUGGUGUUCAAAUUGGAUGAAAAUAUAGAGUAAACUCCGUACGCAUGAAUGUCAAACCGCUGCGUUGAAAGCUCCAACAAUCGCCCGAGUCAAGCAAGUUGAGGCGUACUCAACUAAGACCUACACCAAAAGGGUGCAGUAGGCAUAAGUACGGUCCACUUGUACUUAGUAGGUAUCAUAGGCCGACCAAGCAAAGUAGUAAAGUGUUCUUGUUUUUAUAGAAAUUGGGUGGAUGCGAUUACUUUGAUUGGUAUGAAUAACGACACCCUUCGCAAGUAAAUCGUGUAAUCUGGGGUUUGUUGAACAAAGUCAAGGCUUCUGAAGAGAAGCAAAAUCAAGCAAAAAGAUACUACAUUAUUGUCGUUAUUGCUACUGUUUGGUGUUGUUGGAAACAUGGAUAUUCAAGCCUAAUUGCUGAAAUUUUUAUGGUGGUAUAUGUAUUUGCUACUGAUUUGGUGUUGUCGAGCACAUGGAUAUUCAAGCGUAAUUGUUGGAAAAUAUCAAAAAGAUUUAGGCAUAUGUUGUAAAAUUUAGGUCAUUUGUUGGAAAUUAUCAAACAGGUUUUCCCACUAUUGCAACAAAUUAGACUUAGAUUACAUAGAAAUAACAUCGGCAUAAUGCAACAAAUGACAAACCUAUUGCAAUAGAUAAACUAUCUGCCAGAAUAGAUUCAAUAUAUUUUACAACAAAUUGAUAAUCUAUUGCAUUAUAAAUAACUUAACUUUCAUCAGAAAAAAAUUAUUGUCACUACACGUAAAUGUAAUAAAGUGAAGGGUGAUUUGAAAUUAAAAAUUGCUAUUUCACAAACUCUUCUAUAUACACAGGCUCUAAGGGUCUAGUAAGUACCCCAUAAGCCCAAACCUCUUGCAGGUUUUUCACAGUGUUGUCACAUAGAAAAGUCGUUGGCCUGGCCAUUUCUGUGUUGGUCAGCAAACAUUCGAUGUGUGCAAGAUCAUGCGAGCCUCUCGCGUAACCGGUAUCAUUUUUUGGAAGGAUCAUUCCCUUAUUUCGACCUUCAAAAUCUCAUGAUUUCUUCAUCAACACUUUCUUUGGCAAAUGAUUCAUCAGUUUACUCUCUCACAACAAGAUGGGCAACAACUCCAUCAGUAGAUCCACAAGGACAAAAAGAUCGAAAUCAUUGAUGAGAGGUUUGUUGCAGUCAUAAACAUUGAUAUUUUCCUCCUCGAGUAGUAUCUCAAUAGAUCGAUAAUACAUGUCUUUCAUGCUAAUGAUUGUGAGAAUACUUUUUGCCUCGGUCUAGCUCUUGCCAUGUGGAUUUGGUUUCUCUCCUCUAAUAUAUUUUAUCAUUUAUUCUUUAAUUGCAUUGGAAAUAAGACUCAAAGAUUUUUUAUUUGAUAUAAGAAGAUCUCACAGUUCAUCAUAUACAGGGAGUUAUGAUCAUUUGAAGUUGACCCUAAAAUGCUGAAAACUAGGAAAAAAGGCUCCAACUAGGGCGGUGCCCUGCUUAGACCGGGGGUCUAAGCGAGGCUGCGUGGCCCUGUAGCCUUUUGCUACUGGUUUGAGAAAUCAAACAUGACCUUAGGAAACUCCUUUCUAAAAAUUUAUUAACACUUUACUACUUUCCAAAUUGAACUGUAAUCAAUCUACUCUAGAGUCUAGGAUAUAACGAUGCACAAUUAUAUGUAUGAAGGAUAAAAUCAUCUUGAAAACUGCACCUAAAAGUAUAAACUCACUGCUAAUGCUAUCUCUUGGAAUACAACUCUUAACUUCCUUUAACUUCUACAAUCAUCUUCAUCCUACCAUAUCUAUAUUUUUUCUUAUUUUUAUUUUCAUCUUCCUCAUUUACAACUUCUUUCUUAUCUCCCUCACCUUCCUUUCCUCAUCAUCUCUAGAUCUUUCAACUUAUUCUUCAUAACAUGAAUAUCGACAAGUCUUUUACAACCAUUCUACUCUCAUCCUAGCAUUCAAAUGUCAUAUCUCUUAAACUUAUAUUUUCUCCACACCAAGAGAAUUACCACUAUACCUCUAUCAACAACACAUAUAACUCUGGAUUACUAUACUUAGAUUCUUGCAUACCUUGUUUCAAGCCUAAUGAUUCACUUUUUAUACAACUAACCCCAUAAAACAUACUCUGCUCAAAUUUAGAGAACACCAUCGCGAAACUAUCUGCGGGGACUGUCUGAGAAAGUUCUAUCUGAAAGACUUUAGGCUUCAAUUAUUCUGUUACCUUGGAAGUAAGGUAAAGCUGACAUGAAUGGAUCAUGAUAAGAGUCUACAUAAGUCUCUUAGAGAACCUUUCUACAGCAUGAUCUGAGACAUGAAUGAAGGGAAACUUUUCUAAAACAUCUUAUAGCCUCUUGUACAUAAAUGUGGUGUGCAACACACCCAUGUACAAGACUCUACUAGAUGCGGCUUUUCAGAUUUCCUAGGACUCUAUUGAACCUUAGGCCAUGAUACCAAGUUUGUAACACCCCAAUUUUUUGUAAUCGGAAUGUCACACGGUGCUUAUGAUCCCGAAGGACCAUAAGCUAAUCCUCUUCUAAUAUUUAUACCUGUUCACUGCAUAAUAUAAUAAAAUAAUGCAAAAAACUAGCGGAAACUUGCCAUAAGGUUUAAAAUAUCUAAAAAAUACAUAAUUCUGUAAACUGAAUACUUAUACAAUUGUUCGAAAAGCCUCUAACUGUCUGAACUGUGGAGUUAAUGGAACCUGUCCCCAACUAACUCCAUCUAAUAAAAUAAUUUAAAUAUAAUAAUGUGCUAAAAUAAUAACCAUUCUCAGAAUAUGAGGAAUCACUACUGGGUACUGAACUGCUACUGCUGAUCUAGAACUCGCAUCUCUGAAUCUAUGGUGUCAAACAAAAUAACAACACCAUAACGCAAAUGCGUUAGUAUAUUGGAAUGUACUGAGUAUCCAAAUGAGGUAAGGCUAAAUGCAAAGGCUUAUGCAUGAACAUAACUUAACUGAAUAAUAUGCAAGAGCUGGAUUAGUAUACAUAAAGAAUCUGUAACUACUGAUUAUACUGCGUAUACUGUCACUAAGCAUAAUAAGACUAAUUCUGGCAACUGAUACUGAAUAUGCUAAAAUUCUGAAAUUUCUGAACAUACUGAGAUUUUGAGUAUCUAAAGCUACUAAAACUGAUAUCAACCCUAUUUAACAGGUUGUCUCUGGAUCUACUAAUAUUAAGAAUGAUUGACUAAAUCUGAGAUCAACCCUAUCUAGAAGGUAGUCUUUGAAUCCAUGGAUAAUAAUACUUAAUUAACUGAAUCUGAGAUCGGCCUAUCUAGCAGCGGAUCUUUGAAUUUACAAAUAAUCAUACUACAUGUCCUGUAUCUAACAACCUUGAAUUCAUACACUGAACUAAGCUCUUUCUUGAAAUCUGAAAUCGAUUAUGAACCUAAAACUAUGGAAAGUAUUUAUCUAACCGACAUGCCCCAUCUAGCUAAGUCGGGGUCCAACCUGUACCCCAGUUGGUAGGGUGUCAGUACCGUACCACUAGUAAAGACAAUUUUACAUAACCCUCAUCUAUUAGGUACUCAAACGAGAAUGGUGGGGCCCUUAUCUAAAUGGUCAAGCCACCUCAUCUGCCCUUAACUAUCAGGUAUGAUGUCUCAACCUACGUUGACAACAUAGUUCUGGAGCACAAGAAUUGUUGCUAAGAAUCACACCCUCUACUAGUAGGUGAGUUCCCAUCCUUGAGCUCACUCGAUACUGAAUCCAACUCCCAACCAAAAGACACUGACCUAUUUCUUAACUGAUCUUAGACUGAGCUGAAUCUGUUAUUGAUCACAUUACUUUGUUUAUCUGACUGAGUUAGCUUGAUUCCAUUUCUGAUGAAAUACUAAUGAAUUCUACGGAGUUUUCAUAUAUCACUAAACUUUACUAAAGCCUUGACUGAAUACUAAAUACUGCUGAGAGCUGAACUGAGUACUAAGCUUGAUUUGACUGAACACUGAGAUUACUGAGUUUUCUUAUUGUUCUAUCACUGACUAAAUUUUACUAAUCAUAGCACGACUGAGAUUAUCUUGAGACUGACUCGGCUCUAGGCACACAACUAUAUUUUUCGGGUACAAGUACCCCCAGGACUUGAUAGAAGGAAACUGACAAGACAUAUUACUUCUUGAAUACAUAACCAACAUCAACAAUUUAUACUACUACUGUUGGUGAUAUUUCACAAACCAUAUGAUUAUCAUAAUCUUAUUCAUGAAUGGAAAGGAAUAUAAACAUAUCAUAGCUUCACCCAUCUCAUCUCAUGAAGCAUUCAUAAUGCACAUAAUACAAUGAAAGUUAUUCUUAGUCAUAAGUGAGAACUUAAAUUUACCACUUGGGUCACAAUUAGGCUAUAAUGCAUAAUAUUUAUUCUCUUAGGCAUUUUACCAAACACGUGGGAGGCAUGAAUUUAUACAUACUGAGGAUUUCUUCUUCUCAUACUAAAACGACUCUGUUUCCUUCAUACAACCAUUCUAUCAAACACUUGAAUGUUAUGAAUUAGUAUUCUUUUUUACAUAAUAUAAUUUCUCUUAUUUAAUUCAUAUGAAUAAUUUACCACUUACUUGAAAGGCAUAGUAAUUGCACAUAUUGUUAAUCAACACAUAAAUAUCACCAUCUAAGGAUCUAACAUGAAUCCAUGUAGUGCUACACUCAUAAUUAUUUAUCUCACCUAAAUCAUGUACUUAAAUCAUGGAUUAGAAACCCAAUCAUAUAUAUAUAUAUAAAAGAGGAUUAAGAAUCUGCUGAUGUGGCACCCUCCAAUGAGCAGUAUUGGUAUUUAUCUAUUUUGUCCCUUUUUUGACUUCUUUACUUGAAUUUUACUUUUAAAAAAUAUCAAAAGAAAAACAAAUCAGUUACCUACACAGAAUCCAACAGUCAGCUUAUUAAAUUUUAGUAACUGUUGAAAAAAGGAUGAGAAGAACUAGUCGAUUUUCAUGGAAAACGCCUCUAUUCCAAUAGUUAAUAGACGAAAUAGGGAAAAUGAGGAGAAGAACCAGUAGGUUUUUGGAUUGCAAUUCUGUAUUCCAACAGUUCUUUGUUUCAUCAAAUUUGUGCAAAUUUCUAUUGGCUAAUUUUUGUGCACUCCCUUUUUCAUGUUUUACCAAUUUUUCUCUACCAUCAAAUCUCCAUUGCAAUUUGUGCUUUCUGAUUUCAACCGAUCUCUUAGAUUUAUAAACUUAUUUUGACAAAAUACUUUAUCGAAUUGAAUUUUUCAGCUUUAUAAAAUUAUUUUGGUGAAUCUAAGAGUAAUUUUCUAUUUCUGUGCAUACCUAUAUGCACUUUUUUCAAGGAUUUGUAGGACCUUUAGUGAAGCAAAAAAAGGGGAUUGAAGAGGUUUGUACUCGUAUUAAAGGAGGAUGGUGUCAUUGUGUUGUAUUCUAUAUUGUUUGAUGAAUGUUGUUUCAUUUUUAGUUUUUGUAAGCAAGUCUACUGGUGUAUAGGAUGGUUUAGGGUUCCUCCCACGUGUUGUGGUGCCACUUAUGCACUUCUUAGCUUUUUCAGGUUUCGACAAGCUUUAGCGAAUGUACCUCCGAUAAACUCAAAAUAGAAGUAUUUUUAAUUUUUUUUCAUUGUUAUUAUUCGCUUACAUGUUUCAUGCGUGCAUUGGAUGUGAAUUAAUUUUUUGUAUUUCUUUUAAAGUAUCAUGGAUGUUUUUUUAAUAAUUAGCCUGUGACUCUGUUAUGUUGAAUUAUGUGAACUUUUCGUACCCUGUCUUAGUAUUUUGUGUCAAGGCUCUUCAUUGCUUCAAUUGCAUCAGUUUUUGUCAUCCUUCCAACUUACAGAAGUGUAUUCUUAAAGAGUUCAAAUUAUUUUCUCUAUGGUGGUUGAUCUGUGAUUUCGUCCAUGUAUAUGAUACCUCCUUUCUUUACUUUUACUUGUCCAGAAUGAACUUUUCACACCAUUUAAGAAAUAACAAAUGAAGUGCAUAUUCUAUCAUUAUAUCUAUAUUAAUUGGUGUGUAUUUUUGUGGACUUGAAAAUGAUUUAGAAUGAGUAAUUAAUGCUAAAGGUAAAACAAGAAAAAGAAAUUAUUUUUCUCUUGAAAUGCGACAGAACAUAUUUUUAAUAUAGUGAACAAGUAAAAGUGAAUGGAUGUAGGGCUUUUGUGAAUUUUGUGUUUCAUCUUGAACAUUUGUGAUUCUUUAUAUGUCAUCAUGUCUCCUUUUGCCUUAUGUUCGUAGUUUGAUUCAGUUGGAGCUUUUUAACUUAUCCAGUUUGGUCAGUUGCUUUUAAAGCUUUGAAUUAGGACACAUAUAAAUAAAUAUAUUGUUAUUUUCAGUAGUUUAAGCAACAUAGAUUCUCUCUCUGCUUCUUGAUUUUUGAAUAUUUCUCCACGUAUAUAUCUAUAGUUAUAUCCCUCUGUGUAUGUACCCACUCUCAUUUUUUCACUUUUUCUUUGGUAAUACAAAAAGGAUGGGAUCAUUACAUCUGAAAAGUAGGAGCUAGCCUUUAGAAUCUUAAGAAAAUGAAAAAAAUGAUAUUAAGCAAAGUAGGAGCUCAAAGCUGAUAUCAUUAUACCUCUGUCAUAGACAUGCUAGGUCAUGCUGGGCAGCUUGAAGCUACUUAUAAGUUUUUAUUAACUCAGGACUGUCAGUUAAAAUAACUAAUGUUAUUAGUUAUAUUCAGAUACAGUUAUUCAUGUUAUCAGUUAUGUCAGUUUAAAAGUAUUCAGAUUCAGUAAUCAUGUCAUUACGAUAUCACUAUCAGUCAUUAUGUCUCAUGCAUGUAUUCUCACGUUUAUGAUAGUUAGGUAGCUAUGUAUUAUUAUUGUUCAUGCACAUGAACCCCAUGCAUAUAGCCUACCUUACAUGUAUACUCAAUACAUUCCUUUGUACUGACACAUUUGCGCUGUGGUGCUUUCUCUUAUGUUACAUCAUAGGUUUAGAGACAUGAGUUCCAGAUCAACAGUAGAUUCCAGUUUCAGCAGUCAAAUUUAAACCUCAUCCUUCGAGGACAUGAUUAUUUCUUUACUAUCUCUUCGAUUAGUUUAUUAGUUGGAGUUAGUUGGGGACAUGUUCCAUUAACUUUUUAUUCAGAUUAUUCAGUCAAUAGAGGCUUUCAGGCUAGAUGCAGACUAGAUAUAGACUAUCAUGUUUCAGAAUUCCAUAUUCUCAGUUUUAUUUUAGGUAUUUUACUACCCCACACAGAUGUUACGUCAUUUAGUUAUAUUCAUGAUUGAACCUUAUGGCCUUUCAGUGCAUGUUUCUACAUUUUUAUGUUAUAUUAUACAGUGUACAGGUACAGAUAUCAAUCAUGGGUUAGCUUGUGUUCCUUCGGGGUCAUGAGUACUGUGUAGCAUUCCAGUUCAGCAAAUGGGGGCGUUAUACUUACAAAUUCCAAAAAAGGUGGGGCCAACUCAGGUUCACCAACCAUGUGACACACAAAGCUUCCAAAACUUGCCUAUUACCCAAUCUGUUUGAAAUGUCAAUUGUAUCCUUGUCUGACCUAAUUUCUUUUAAAUUAGAACACUUAGGCAGUUAACAUAUAGUAAGCAUUGUUUAGGAUCAUACCCUAAAUACCUUACAUAAUUCCUAAAUUCAAAAAAAGAUAGCCUAGCUACAUCAACGUCUAAAAAUUUAGUAACUUCUCCACCCUCAUAUCUUUUUCCUUUUUUUCCCUUUGCCUUACCCUUAUUAAGUUCUCCACCAUGGUAAAAUCUCAAAGUGAUCAGUUCAAAACUCAUUUUAUAAACCUUAAAUCAUUGACCAUAAAAACACAAUAAGGAUACAAGUCUCACAGUACACAAAAAGCAAAAAGAUACAAGUCUCACAGUACACAAAAACCAAAAAAUUAUAGUAUUUAUGCAACAAUUACAAGUAUCACAGGUUAUUUAUCACAUAUUGAACCUCACAGAUCAUAUUGUUACAGAUUGAAGCACGUUAAAAAACUAUAAUAGAUCAAUUUUGAAGAUAAAUUAAAGAUAGCAAAAACCCCUAAUUCAAAACUCUAAUUCAAAACCCUAGUCAAAACCCUAGUAAAAAAUGAACAAUUAUAAAUGUCAAGGGUUAUAUUAUCACAUAUUGAGCAUCUAAAUGUAAAUAAAACAAAUUAAUUUGGACAAAUUAAAGACGGAAAAGCCCUAACUCAAAACACUCUAGAUUUAAUUUAGGAACGAAAAUAAAUCCUAGGUCUACUAUAUUUAGGAAAUAAAAAAGCUAACCUUUGAAUAGAAAAUCUGUAGUUCCUACAUAGACAAUCGUAAGCUUGCACCAAACCACCCCUAAUAGUCUAUUUACUAUCUUUAAGAGAGUGAUAGAAUGGAAAGACAAUAGAUAGCAAAUGCUUACCUAGUAGGUUUAAGAACUCACAUGCACCAAUACAUAUAAAAAAGAAGAAGCUAAAAGCUGCAACAUACGCUAAAUGCAACAAGUCUAACAAGGAAAAUGAAACUAAAGAGUCAGAAAAACAUAACACAAGUCAACACAAAAAAAAGUCAGAUGAACAUGUCAACUAACAAAAAAUAAGAUACCUCAGAGCAACAUUACAGCCAGAGAGAGUUAUGGCUACAUAAAACAAGUCAAAUGAACACACCAACUACCAAAAAAGUAAGGUACCCCAGAGCAGCAUUACAGCCAAAGAGAGCUAUGGCUAGAUAAAACAAGUUACAUGAACACAUCAACUACCAAAAAAAAUAUGGUACCCUAGAGCACAGCCAGAGAAAGCUAUGGCUAUUCCUGAGCCAUAGCUCUACGUAUUGCUAAAGUAACAUUAUAAAUCCUUGGAAAGCCAGCAACCUUGGUUUCAACUUUAGAAAUCUGCUUUUCAAUGCUAAGAUCUUUAGAUCUUUUAUUCAAAACAAUAUAUCCUGAUUUUCAUACUUCUUUUCAAGGCUCAACUUUUUUAACUUUUCGUGUUAUUUUGACAACAAAAAUAAUUUUGUUGAUGAGUUAAAUGAUAGAAUUAUAGCUCAACUUCCUAAAGAUGUUAAGACAUUUGUCACAAUUGAUGAAACUGUUGAACGGUGUGAUCAAAGUGAGUUUAAGGAUUUCUUACAUUCAUUGAACCCUCUUGGUUUACCUCCUUAUAAAUUAACAUUGAAAUAGAAUUAUCCUAUUAUGUUAUUGAGAAAUUUAAAUCCUUGUGAAGGUCUAUGCAAUGGUACACAUCUAAUAUGUUGUGAUUUUAAGAGUCGUGUUAUAAGUGCUAAAGUUGCCAGUGGUGAUUUUAAAAAUAUAUGUAUAUUUAUACCAAGAAUACCACUAUUAUAUUCAGAUGAUGAAAACUUACCUAUCCCUUUUAAAAGAAAACAAUUUUUAAUACGAUUGUGUUUUGCUAUGACAAUAAAUAAAGCUCAAGGACAAACAUUAAAUUAUGUUGAAAUUUUUCAUGGCCAAUUGUAUGUUGCUCUAUCAAGGGAUAAAAGUUCAAACAACAUAAAAAUAUUAAUUCGAUCACCUACUACUAAUAAUGAUGAUAAUCAAUUUACAUACAAUGUUGUGUAUAAUGAAAUCAUUUCUAAGGAUUUUGUUUAACUUUAUAUCCUAUUUGACUAAAUAAAUGUGGGAGGUAAUCAUCUAACUGACAUGCCCUUUUCUGAAAAAAAAUUAUGAUCCAACCUGUAACCCCAACUGAAAGAGUAGUACCGUGUCACGAGUAAAGACGAGAUGAAGAGUCACCUUCAUCUGGCAGGCGCCCUGGAUGAGAAUGGUGGUACCCUUAACUGGCAGGUUAAAACACCUCAUCAACCCUCAACUGGCAGGUUGAUAUCUCAACCUACGUUGGUGAUGUAGUUCUGGAAUGCAAGAACUGCUUCUAAGGAUCACAUCCUCUACUGGCAGGUGAGCCCCUAUCCUUGGGUUCACUCGGUGUUGAAUCUUAUUCCCAACUAAAUGACACUGAUUAUUAUACUGAGAUAAACUAGACUGAUACUGAGUUUCACUAAGUUCUGUAACUGACUGAGUUUAUUGAGUUCUAUUAACUGACUAAGUUCACUGAGUUCUGUUAACUGACUGAGUACUAUUAUUUUGCGAUGAUUGAGACUAUUUCGUAACUACUGUAGCUCUAGGUAAAUAGCUAGAUUGUCGGGUAUCGAAUACCCCCAGGACUCGAUAGCAUUGAAAGUAAAGCAUGGCAUAAUCUUGAAAGCAUAAUGAUAUUACUUGCUUAUUGACAAUGCGUUCAUCUAGACAUUCUGUCAAACACUUGAUAUACAUGAGUUUGCACGUGAUGGGGACCACAUAAUGACAUGUCAUGAUUCUACUAUUUACUUCACAUAGGCAUUUUAGCAAGCAGUUGGGGAGCAUGGAUUAUUUCACAUAAUAAUAGUCAACAUAUGAACAUCAUGGAUACAAUAGUCAAUUGUAGUUUCAAUGGUUUAACAUGUAUAUCAUAUAAUUCAUCACCUAUGCUAUUUUAAUUUCAUGAGACUUAGAAUUAAAUCAGGAAUUGAAACCCAAUUAAUAUCAUGAACAUAAAUCAACUUCAAGCAUGGAAAUCAUAAAUCUAUAAACUUGUAUGUUUAAAUAGGGUUCUUGGACUCCAUGGUGAAAGAACCCAUGAAUGAAUACCUAACAUACCUGAAAAGAUUAAUUCUUGAAGGUUCUUGGAGGAAUUCUUGAGAAUUGUUCUUGAUUUUUGAAGCUAGAGUUUUGCCCUUUUUGAGAGAAAAUGUUUUAAAUCUUGAGAGAAGUAAGUAAAUAAUGAUAUGAUAGGUUAUUUAGGGGUUUAAUCUCGUGUUUAGACUGAUUAGGGCCUUGAAAAAAAAUACCAAAUUACCCCUAGGAAUAAUUAAAAAUUUCAUCACUGGGUGUCCGAUUUUGGGCCACACCGCAACACGGUGGCAUCGCGGUAAGCCACUGAAAUAUGGCUAGCACUGUACAAAAGGGAUGACUGGGAAAUUGGAUCAUGGAGUGACGUGGCACCAUCACGGAGCCUCACUAGAAUUUAACAAUUCUAAAAUUGGGCCUCGUCACUACGCAGUGCUAUUACGGAGCUUCACUAAAAAAUGCCAAUUGGGAACUGGCACUGCUCUGCGAUGUAGGCUUAUCACGUUGGCUUACUGAAAACUGACCAUUUCCAUUUGGAUGGUCUCCACGACGCGGUGAUGUGCUAUUUGGAACACUGUUUUACAAAAUAUGCUAUAACUUUUCAUCCAGUUAUCGAAUUUGGGCGAAUUUUAUUUCAUUAGAAAGCUUAUUGAAUUUCCUUCGUAGUGGUAAGCUCUAAAUUGAUAAAUUCUGAGUAUUUUAAAAUUUUAAUAUAAGAUUACUUAUGUACUGAGAUUUAAAUUAACCUAAGGAAAUACGGGGUAUUACAAUCUCCCCCUUGGGAACAUUCAUCCUCGAAUGAACUGAUUAAGCUAAGAAAACACUAAUAGACUAAGUUUACACACUGAACAUACAUAUCUGAUGCAUGGAAUACAUGAUUGAAGCUACUAAUAAACUGAGCUCUCGUACUGAACAUACAUAUCUGAUGCAUGGGUACAUGGUUGAACUAAUUCAUGAAUGCAUAACUGUCAUGAAGAUAAUAUGCAACGGUAAUUAAUACCAAGUUUGUAACUGUAUCUGAACAUGGAACUGAGCAAAUCUAAGGAAGACUGUUACCUUAAGUUGAAUCUGAGUUUGCGGAGAAGAGGUGAGGAGACUUAGUCCGUAUAUCUAUUUUUGCUUCCCAAGUAGCUCCCUCAACGGACUGAUUCCGCCAAAGAACUUUAACCAAGGUAACUUCUUUGUUCCUUAGUCUACAAAUCCGAUGAUCGAGGAUUUAGAAUGGAACCUCUUUGAAAAAGAGAUCAUUACAAAUAUUUACAUCCUUUAAGGCGACUACGACUACUGGGUCACCAAUGCAUUUCUUUAGCAAGGAGACGUGGAAUACUGGGUAUACUAAAGCUAGAUCUGAAGACAACUCAAGUUCAUAAGCUACCUUUUUAAAAUAGCUGAGAAUUCUUUAAGGACCGAUGUAUCGAGGACUGAGUUUCCCUUCUUGCCAAACCUCUUUAUCCCCUUCAUGGGAGAGAUUUUUAAGAACACAAAAUCACCGAUAUUAAACUCUAGGUCCUUUCUUCUCACAUCUGCAUAUAAUUUCUGUCCGCUUUGGGCUACCCUAAGCCUUUCUUUGAUCAACUGAACUUUCUCUAAGCCAUCAAACACUAAGUCAGGCCCUACUACUACAGCCUUACCUACCUCGAACCAACCAAUUGGAGAUCUACAUCUCCUACCAUAGAUAGCCUCAAAUGGAGCCAUCUGCAUACUGGAAUAAUAACUAUUAUUAUAUGCAAAUUCGAUAAAGGCAAGUGGUUAUCCCAACUCCCUUUAAUCAUCAACGCAGGCUCUUAACAUAUAUUCUAGAGUCUGAAUAGUCCUUUCUUCUUGACCAUCUGUCUGAGGAUGGAAGGCUGUACUGAGGUGAAAUUGGGUACCAAAACCCUUUUAUAAUGGUUUCUAGAAGUAAGAGAUAAAUAGGGUACCGCUAUCUGAAAUGAUGGAUACUGGAAAUCUGUGCAACCUAACCAACUCUCUGAUAUAGAGUUUAGUGUAGUCCUUGGCUAAAUAAUGGCAAGAAAUGAGCAGAUUUGGACAUCCUGUAUACGAUAACCCAAACUGAAUUAUGCUGAUGAUGAGUACGAGGCAAACCCAUCACAAAGUUCAUGUUCACUUCUUCCCAUUUCCAUGCGGGAAUACUAAAAUCCUGCAUGGACCCACUAAGAUUUUGGUGCUCAAUCUUAACUUGCUAACAUGCAGAGCACUUAGCUACAAACUUUGCAAUAUCUCUCUUCAUCCCACUCAACCAAUAGAUCUCCCACAAAUUGCAGUACAUCUUAGUGGCCCCUAGAUAAAUAGAGUAACGCGCACCAUGCGCUUCUGCAAGAAUUCAUUACCUCAAGUCAUCUACGCCUAGAAAACAUAGCCGACCCUGGGAACGCAACACAUCAUCUUCCCCUUGGGAGAAAAUCUCUACUUUUUGAUCUCUGAUUGACUCUUUCAGCUUGAUCAUAAAGAAUUAUGCCAUAUGGAAUUUUUUUAGUCCUUUUGAGUCUUCUUUUCAAUAUUUUCCUUUAAACUUACUGUAAAGUCUGUUGAGUAAAUAAAUUUUAUAGCAUUUACAUUUGAAAAAAUUUUAGAAUCUACAAAAAAUCUCUCUAUAAAUAUGUAAAAUAUAAAAGGUUGUCUAUUAUUCAUGCAUUUUUUUGAGGAUCCGAUAUGGGUGCGAUAAGAUUUGUGGAGAGGUCGAGCAAUAUAGUUCACAGUUUCAUGUGUGGGAGUGGAAAGUUGCUUUGUAUGCUUAUCAGAAUAUAGUAUUAGCUUUAUAUAGUGGCGGCUGCUCAUCAUACUUUUAAAGUAGCUUUGUGACGUACUGGGCAUUAUCACCAUUCUGUUCUCCAUCUUUUGAAUGUCAAAGUAAAUAGUAGUGGGGGCAAGCAAUGGGAUCGAUUGGCGCACUUGUGUAAUAAUGUUAAAUCCUUUUAUUUAAUAGUAACAUUUUGAUCAGUUUGCAUUUUCUCUACUGCACUUUUGAUGUCACUGCCUUUGAUUUUUAUUAACAUGUGAUGUAGCACAUUAUUACUACUGCUCGACUUAGUUUUGUUUUGUAAUUGCUAUGUUUACAUCUGAAUUGAUAUUGAUGAAAUACAGAAUUUCUCAUUGCCUAAGUGCAGUGGAAAGAAAUGAUACAUGCUAAUUGCAAGAUCACUUGCAUUUUUUGGGCCGACACACCAAAUUCAAAGUCGACCCUAGUAGAAUCGAAUGCAAAGAUUUAGCCGAAUCAAAGGCUCUUAGCUCAACUUCACUCUAAGUGCUUCCUAUGAACAUUUUUCACCUCAAGAGCACUUUACACACUAGGAUAAUGAUCACGAAGCUUAUAUCCACAUGGGAAUUAUUUGGAUUAGAACUUACAUGUGUAGGAACGAUAGUUAGAAUUUUAAUACGAAAAUAUAGGGUGUUAUAUUAUCUCCUCCUUGGAAUCAUUCAUCCUCAAAUAAUGGAUAGGAACCUUUUAAAGUCUUAGAAGUAUGGAAUAAUAUAGACAUGAUAUGUCUGCUAAGAAAGGAUAUAACUAAGCUGAAUCAUUACAAGUUUCAUCAGGAAAGUAAUUUCUGAGCUGACUUACCUUUACUUACUAUAAGGAGCUGAUUCAUGCUGAGAGUUUAGAAUUCGCUUGAAGUGUUCAUGAUACAAUAACACAUAUAGAACUGAAAAGUGAUAGCUUAUGCAAGAACGAAUCAUGAGACAACGAGACUAAGAUCAUACAAUGGGUAUUACACUGUCUGAGCAGGAAUACUUGGAAACUAAGAUCAUUCACUGAACACUUAGGAACUAAAUCGUGACUAAAUAUCUGAAUUUGAAACAUAUGCCUGAUGCGUGGACUGAGCUGAAUUCAUAAUUUGCAAAAAUGCAUAUAUUUUACCUCAUGAAAUGGCCUUACACACUAAACUUUGGGUAAUACGACUAGAUGGAAAGUUGAAAAUCUAUAGGAGCUUAUUUGUUUGAUUGCUAAACUGGAGUACAGUCUAUAUGGACUGGAUCAUACUGAAUGUUCAUACCCAAGUGGAUUAUUUCUUAAACAUUAUUCAAAGAAGUUCUAAUGAUAUUAGGGAGCAAAGAACUUUAGGCAUGAUCUGAACAAGACAUCUGAAUAAGAAUGUCACUUAUUCUUAAGGGCUAACACAUAAGGACCUAAAGCACAAAAAAAUACUAUACAUAACUCUGACACUUAACUGAGGCCUGAAGAAUAGAAUGUCAAAGGUAUGGAUUUAUUAAAAAGAUCUAAACUGAGGACAUACAUGAUAUAUAUUGAAUUUCACUAGGAUCAUGAGUUUCUAAGAAUUGAUCAUACUUUAAAACAUGAGUUCCUACUUAUCAUAAGCUAUUCAACAUAAGACUGUAGUUCAUAGAUUCAUGAGGGAUAACUCUAAUCACAGAGUGUAGCUAUUACUUGUUUGCUAAAAGUUAAGAAUAGACUUGAGUAUGCAUGAAGUGUAUAAGCAUUAUCCUUUGGCAUGGAUCGAUCACGCAAAACAUAGAUUUGGUGUGAUAAUGACUGAAAUCCAAGGAAUACUCAAGAGUAAGAAGGAAUCACUAUCUCAUCAUAACUCUUAUUGACAUGUAUCACAAUUUAAUUCUUAAAACUUGAUUUGGUUCUGCAUUUUACCAUCUCCCCCUUAGGUCAAAGCUGAUAUUCUAACCUUAUAGGUAUAAUCCAUAUCCUCAAGAAUGAGCCAUAAUUUCUUCAUUCUAAUGUCUACAGAUAAAUGCUAAAUUCACAAGAAUAAACUAUAUUUCAAACUUACCGACUUCAUUCUUAAACAAUCCUUUCAUUUACUAUCCUUAACUUUCUAGCUUCAAUAAUCAUCAUCAAAAACUUACACUCUCAUUUGCAAACAUAUCUACCUCACUAAAUACAUAAUCGUAGUCUACCAAGAUCAUACUCCUAUACUUAUAUUUUUUCCAAAUCGUAAAAAUCAAAAUCAUACUUAAAAGACUCAGCACCAUCUAUUCAAAACUCCUCAACUUAGCUAUUAAGAACACCAUGUACUAUAUAACUAGCCUUCUUCCACUUAGCAACUCAAGGGUACUACUAACCACACACAACACUUAAUAGCCUUAUAAAAUAAUGUAACCCUAUAUCACCUUGGGCACCAAAGGCUCGGACGAGCAGGUAAUAUCAUACUUAUAAUAUUAUACUAAAUUAUGAAUAAAUCAACUUAAAUUCUUGCAUACAUUAUUCAAGCCUACUGUCAUGCCCUUUUUUUUUUACCUGAGGUUAAACAAGCAUGACUUAUGGACUCUAAAAGAAUUGAAUUUUUGUAUAGAGUCGCCACCUAAUUUUUAAGAAAAAUAAGGAAACAUAUUUAUUUAUUAACAUGUAUGAUUGAUGUUUCAGUCUGCAAAAAUCAGUUGAGAUUCUAGGUAAGAGUUCAAAUUAUUCCGAAGGAAGGGAUUAGGUACCCUUUGGGAUCCACAACUGUGGUACCCAGCUAGAUUAAAUUUAUCAAAAAAAGAAGAGGUAUAUUCAAAAUAAUAUAAAAAGUGUGUAUUAAGUAUAAAAUAAUUAUUUUUAAAAAUAUAAAUAUUUAAAACUAUGUAAAGGUAUAUAUAAAUAUGUAUAAAAAUGUAUAAAUACAUGUGAAAAGGAAAGUAUUUUAUGAUGUGUGAAAAGAAAUGUAUUUACAAGUAAUAUUUUUUAUUUGAUUAAAAUUACAAAGAAAAGUAAAAUUUAUUUGAGAAGAAAAGACUGCAUAAUAUGUGAAUUACUUGAUUAACUUUACUAUUUUAUGUAAGUUUAUUAAAAUAAUAUAUAUGUUUUGUUGUAAAAAAAAUAUAAACAAAAGUAUAUUAGUAUAUGUACGUAAAGAAAAGAUAAAAUAACACACAAUUUAAAGUCUUCUUCGAGUAUCAUUCCCGACAAGUAUUCCCAAUAACUAGAGUAGAUAGAGGAGGAUCAGUCUCAGACGACAGCAAGCUCACCUUGCUCUAAAUCAGUAAUGAAAGGUAGGAAUCUCGUCAACAUCGACUGCUAGUACUCGAAUCUGGAUGCCAAAGCUAUAGUAUCUUUUCAUGAAGCUUUCGGAUAGUGUUUUGCUUGAAUCCGAGCUUAAAUAACAUCCAUAAAAAAAUUGUUGUCCACAACGAACCAUACUAGAUUUGUGAGGAUAAUGAAGAACUCUAAAAGAAACAAACAGAGAAGGCCAACAAAUAUAGAGAAUAGAGACAUAUGCUUUUUUUUUUUGGAUAAAAGGAAUUAAGAUAAAAAAAACAACGUAUUUGUUACAAGAUAGCCAGUCAGUCCGGUUCAAAAAUAACAAGUUCCGCACUAAAUUUCAUGCUACUGCCUUUUACAUAUCUAUUAAAACAAGUUCCUAAAAUGUCUUCCAUACAUGUUCUAAUGCAAACACAGGAGGAACUUCCAAAAUGUGUUUGGAUCCAAAAAUUCUCCAACGUGCUCCUUCCUUUGCUAGUGAGCCUGCUACUUGGUUUUGCUCUCUAAAAUAGUGUUGUACUGUUGGUCGUCCCACUCUUGUCAGCAUGGAUCUGGAAAGAUCAAUAAUAGGGUCAUAAUGCAUGUUUCCAUGUUUUAGCAUAUGUAUAACCUGCUGGGAAUUAAUAUUGAUCUCAAUGGGGUGGAGGUUGUUAUCCUCCAUAAUUUUUAGGCCUUCCAGCAAAAAAGAAGGGAGUUCCAUUUGGUUAUUAGUAUCCUUAGGAUAGCCCUUGUAGUAACCCAGGAUCCAUUCACCAUUGGUAUUUCUUAUUACAACACCUAUACCCUCAACCCUUGGAUUCCCCAAAAUGAAACCGUCAGUGUUCAGUUUAUAGAAAUUUCGAGGAUAAGGGGGGACCAUUUAACAGAAAUGAUGAGAAGAUAUUGGUAUUGAGUAGAAAGAUGGUUGGUUAGAUGCUUGUACUGAAUAGCUGAAGCGUAAGCUCUAUCAAAAAGAGGGGUGGAGUUAGAUUUAUUAAAGACGUUUCCAUUUCUACAAUUCCAGACUUUCCACAGGCAGAAUACAAAGAGGUCUUCAAGGUUUAUGUGGUUGUCAAAGGUUUUGUUAUGAACCCAAUUUUUUACAACAUCGAGCAUAUUGUCCUUAGUCAUGUCAUCCAAGUUUGGUGGGUUACAUCCCAGUUGGUUGAAGAGUUUGGUCCAUAGCUGAGACGCUUUAGGACACUUCCAAAAAAUAUAGAAAAUAUCUUCUUUAAUGCAAUUGCAGCAGUAGCAGUUGGGGGUAAUAGGGACACCUCUCCUCAUAAGAAUGGAGUUGUAAGAGAGCCCAGAGAAAGGGUUUCAUAUUAUUGGGGACUUUCAAGUUCCAAAACCAUGUGAAGUUCUUGGUGUUGUUGGUUCGGUGUAUUUUGGAGUUGAUGAGCUUGAAAGCAGUGCUACUCUUGAAUUGCCCAUUGCCCGUAAGUUCCCAGAUUGGAUAGUCUAUGGGACUCUUAGUAGUAUGGAAAAAAGUAGACUGAUAGUGUGGAUGACAGCACGGGGUAGAAUAAAUAGUAAGAAGGAGAAAUCCCAAUUUCCAUUUUGCCAGAAGUCAGAGAUAGUGGCUUGAUGUAGGUUUUUUGUAGGAGGUCCUUGUAUAGUAUUAGAAAGGGCAUCAGUGUUGGCAAGCCAUUUGUCAAACCAAAAUUUUACUUGUUCCCCUUUAUGGAUAAUCCACAGAGAGGCUUCCCUGCAUACAGCUUUGCCUUUGGUGAUGCAUUUCUAUGUUCUAGAAUUUCUUUGAUUGGAAUUAGAAGGGCUGUAUUUGUUGAGUAAGAUUCUGGACCAAAGAGAUUGAGGGUUCUUUAUAAGUCUCCAAGCUAAGGAGCAGUGCAUAGUAUCAUUCUUGAUAGUAGCUUUUUCGAUUCCCAAGCUUCCCAGAGACUUAGGUUGAGUAAUUACAUCCCAUUUAACCAUGUCCAUCUUUUUUCUUUCAUCCGUGGUACCCCAAAUAAAGUCCCUUUGAAUUUUAUCAAUCGGUGGGUAAUCUUAUGGGGUAGCUGAAUGUAUUGCAUGACAUAGGUUGGGAUACUAUUCAGAGAAGCUCUAGUGAGAGUGGUUCUUCCAGCUUGGUUGAGAAAUUUAGUUUUCCAACAAGUUAGCUUCGCUUUCAUGUUAUCAAUGAUGAACUGGAAAUCUGCCUGAGUGGGGGUUUUGUGGAGAUAAGAAAGCCAAGGUAUUUCCAAAUUUAUCUAUGUUCUGAAUGUUAAGAAUGGAAGAAAGGUAAUUGCAAUCAUCCCUGAAGAAGUUCUUGGAGAAGAUAACCUUGGAUUUGGUUCUAUUGAUCUUCUGGCCAGAAAAAUUACUGAAGGAUUCAAGAGUUCUCUUGAUAGUUUGACAGUUAUCCUUAGUGGCUUUAGCAGAGAAGGUUAGGUUAUCCGCGAAGAAAAGGUGGAAAAGUUUGGGACCUCUCCUACUGAUGAAAACAAGGGACCAAUUGAGAAGGUCAACCUCAUGAUUUAUCCUUCUAGAAAAGAGUUCCAUGGUUAGGAUGAAAAGAUAAGGAGAAAUGGGGUCCCCUUGUCUAAUUCCCCUAGUUGGUUGGAAGUACUGGGUGCUAGCACCAUUAGUGAGGAUGGAGAUAGAGGAGGUUGAAAUGCAAAACAUGAUCAAUUUAUAAAGCUUAUUAGGAAAAUUGAAGUAAUGAAGGGCUUGUCUAACGGAAGACCACUCAAGUCUAUCAAAAGCUUUCUCAAGAUCUAUUUUGAUGAUCAUGUUGCCCAUUCUACCUUUCAUAUUCUUGAAAUGGUUUAUGUAUUCCUGGAUAAGGAUUGCAUCGUCUGAGACCCUUCUGUUGGAUAAAAAGCUAGAUUGGGUAGGGCCAGUGAUAUUAGGUAAGAAGGGCUUGAUUCUGUUGGCUAUUAUUUUAGUAAUGAUUUUAUAUUGGGUGUUACAUAGGACAAUGCGUCUGAAGUUUCACAUGGAAACUGUAUUCUAAUAUUUGGGGAUAAGACAGAUGUAGGUAGAGUUCACCUGUUCAUCCAUUUUUCCAGAAAAUAAAACUUUUUUACAAAAGGAAAUAAGUUGUGAACUGAUGGUAUCCCAAAAUCUUUGGAAGAAAAAAGGAUGCAGGCCAUCAGGGCCUGGAGCUUUGGUAGUUUUAAAGUUGAACACAACUUUCCUGAUUUCAUUGAUAGUUGGGAUACUGUCAAGCAUAUUAUGAGCAUAGUCUGGCAGGGAGCCCUUAGAUGAAGGAUUCUUCUGACAACAGAGAUAGGAGAGAGUAUGAUCAGUACAGUAGAGGUCUCUAUAGAAUAUAAGAAUAGCUUAGUUUAUGUCUGCAGGGUCAGAUAACCAACUAUCAUUAUCCAGCUUUAGAGAGUUGAUUCUAUUCCUUCUUCUCCUAUUAAGGGUGACAGUGUGAAAGAACUUGGUAUUAGCAUCUCCUUCUGUGAGCCAAUUAAUUCUCUAUUUGAGUUUCCAUAAUUCAUGCUCUUGUUUGAGGGUGUCACUAUACUCUUUAAGGAGGGUGGAUUCAAGGUUAUGAAGGAAGCAGUUAGUUGGAUAUUGGGCACUCUUUUGGAUACCCGCAACAAUUAAAAGUUAAUAAUUAAUCAACUAAUUAAAUAAAAAAAAUAUUACCCUUGAAAUCUUACAAGUAAAAAACCUACAACCUGAAUUUUGUUGAGUCCAAGAAGUCUUUAACAGAGCUUCAUGAAUGCACUUACAAUAUCAAAAAUCUUUAUCACAAAAAAUAGUGGAAGAUGCGCUCGACAUUGUCAAGGUCAAUUGAAAAAAUGAAAGUAAUAAUUUGAAGAAUUUGGAUAGAUAAAAGAAGAUGACGAUGAGGAAGAAGAAGAUUUGGGAAUUUAGGGUUAAAUUUUAGAUGGAAAAAGUGCCAAAUGGCAGCAAGUCAGCAAAAAGUGCCAAACUGACAUAUUUGAUGUCUAUUUUAUUUUACGUGUUUAAAAUAAACAGUCUACUUGAUGUCUAUCUGUUGCAAUAGGUUGGUCCUAUGUUGCAUUAUCUCGAUGUUUCUAAAUGAAAUAAGUCAACGAAUAAAUGAAAUGUAAAAAAAUUAUUAUGGGUACAGAUCUCAACAAAUACAUCAACAAUUUAAGUAUGAUGCCAAGGAUUACUUUGACAGGCUUAAGCUAUAAAGAUCUACUCAAUAUAGACAAGUUGUUCUUUAGCUGGUGCUAUAGAAUUCGGCUUUGCUCGUCGUGGAUAUUUAUUGUCGCUUACGUACGGUUCUGCAUUUUUUGUUCUCCGUAUUUCCAUAAAAAGAGUAGCAUAUUGUCAAUAUUAUUCAGCAGUAGCAUCUAUAUCCACCUGGUAAGCCAGAAUUGGUCAAUACUAAUCACGGAGAUACAACAAAAUAGAAAAGGAUAACUCAUCUUUUCUAGAAAAUCAAAUAGCUCUUCCUCCUGUUUUAAAUUAUCCCAAAUAGAUUAUAUUUCCGUUGCAAUAAUGAAUCACCUGUUAGGACAAAUUUCUACAUGAGGAAGACUUGUAUGAUAAUUUUCAAUGGAUGAACCAUCCAUUGCAACAUAUGAAUCAUCUGUUGCAGCAGAUAGGUUGUGUGUUGGUACAAAUAAAAGCGGUACGAAGAGCUAUUUGAUUUGCUAAAACAAAUGAGAUAUAUGUCCCAAUAGAGACUUUAUCUGGUGCAAUAAGUUAGUGAACUUUUGCAACAGAUCUAUAUAUCUGUUUGAUAAUUUUCAGCAGAUGUAUCAUAUGUUGAAAUAAGUAUAUGUCUGUUCAUUUUGUUAGUUGGAAGACAUAUAUAUUCACCUUCUUCAGCUCGUGCUACUCUCUUUUGGAUAUUGUACAUUGCUUAGUGCGACACACAGACAGAGGAGUUGCAAUUUUGCUUUUUUGGAUGCUAGAUAAUUCCUUGGAAAUCACUUUCCUUCUCCUCUUAGUCCUAAUCUCUAAUGGAGCGGAUGAAAAUAAAAUCCUCUUUGAUGGAAUGAUACCCUUUUUAGAUGUCAAUUCCUUUAUAAAAGUAGUUAAUGCAUUAAUGGCAUUAAUCACUACAUCAUAUUUCGCCCUACAGUCUUGACAUUUCCAUGCAGAACAUUCGCUAGGAGAGGAAAAAUCUGUAUAACCAGUAUGAUCAUACUCAUAGUGAUUUGCUUUAAAUACUAUAAGAGGAGCAUCAUUAGCACCAACAGCAGCACCACUACCACCACCAACAGCUCCAUCCCCACUAAAACCAUCAACAACAACAAGCCCACCCUCUAAAUUUAUUUUUCUUGUAAUGGUUGUUGCUCUAAACAGUUCCAUUUUUAUUCUGUCGAUGACCUUAGGGUCCGAUAAAGUUUGUACAGACCAUAAAGUAAGAAAAAAUGGAAUCUUCAACUCUCGAUUGGUCGGAACUAGAGACAGAUGCACAAUCUAACAUAAAUCAUUACAUGUAUUAGAACGAUGAUUAGAUCAUUCAAAAAAAUCAUUAAUUAAAAGAAAAAAUUAAUUAUAAUUAUACUUACUGCAUCCUUUGGGGGGUUGAAGAGAUCAAGAAAUUUUGUAUUUUUAUCAGUUUUGGCCGAAAAUCAUCUCAAGAUUCUUGGACAGGAAACUCCUUCCUGGUAGUUCACAUGUUGUCUCAAAUGAGGAAUGGCUUCAAACACCCAAGCCUAGAAAAUAAUGUCAAUAAAUCAAAACCAUUAUUGAGUAAAAAAAAAUGAAUGAUAUCAUAAUAAAAGGAAGAAACAUUCACCAUGAAAGCCCAUGGAAAGCCAUAUAAGUUGAUUGUCUUUGGUACUAACACAGGCAACAAAUAUUUGACAGUCAUUUUGACACUUUCAUAACCCCAAGGAUAGUUUUUAAACACCUCAAGAUCCUUGGAGAGAUUUAUUAAACCAACACUUAUAUUGUUGUUAAUGUCUCUCCUCCAAAGAAUAUUAUGUACAAACCAAACCAAACACAACGACUGCUUGUGCUUCUUUAAAAGUUCUUUACCUUUCAACACUUCUAUCAAAUUUUUAUUUUUAAAACUUGGACCAAAAAUGGACACCAGGUCAUCACAAUCACACGACUUUCCUUUGCCAUUUUUGGGUGUGCAGGGUGCUUUUCAGUGUUAGAAUAGGUAUAACUUAAGAAGGAGGAUAACAUUUUAGUCUAGUAACUAUGGCAAACUCCUUUCAAUCAAAACAGACAGGCAUGCCACAGUAAUUUCUCCACACCUUAUCCAUCUUAUCUUUAUUUUCAUACAUAAACCUAUGCUUGAGAAAUUCAUAUACCAUUUUUAUUUGGAAACGAGCAUUGUUGUCCUCCGGUAAAUCAAGAAAUUUUCCAAAGCAGCUGUCCCUGAAAUAAGCAUUUAAUUUUUGUUCUCGAAGUAUUUUUCUUAGGGCAUCGAAAGAUUUUUCCAUGGCUAACUUAACCACAAAAUCACCAGUUAAAUCUAUGGAACCAUCGCACUGCAUUCUCACUGGAUAACGAUCAAUGUUGAAGGCUUUAACCAACUCUUCGGUAGAAAGGCAAUUAGUAUUUGCAUUAUCUCUUUUGAAAUAUUCCUUCUCCACAUGUUUAUCAUAUUCUACUCCCGAUUGAGAUAACACUUGUAAAUCUAGCUCAUGGAGUGGUGGAUGUAGCCUAGCUGCUUCACUUGUUCCUUUACUUGGACUUGAUUCGGUUUCUGUUGUUUUGGGAACCAUAUUAUCUAAAAUUAAAAAAAACAUAAAAAAUAUAUUAUAGUUGAUUAAUGCAUCUUUAAAAAGGAUAACAGUAAAUCAAACAGUAAAAUAACAGUUGUAACAGAUUAAUGAUCUGUUGCACCAGGUAGUAUAUCUGUUACAGUAUAUAACCAACCUGUUGUAGCGGAUGAGUAAUCUAUUGUAAUAAUACAAAACAUAUCACUCAUAUUUUAAGACAGAUGAAUGGUCUGUACAACAGAUCACACAUCUGUUGCAACAUCAUCUAUUACAAUAUAUGAGUGAUCUGUUGGAAUAGUUAAAUAACCUGUAGCAAUGACUGAGUAAUCUAUUAUGACAAUACAAAACAUAUCACUCAUCUAUUGAGAAAGAUGAAUGGUCUAUACAACAGAUCACACAUCUAUUGUGACAUCAUAUGUUGCAAUAUAUGAGUAAUUUAUUAGAAUAGUUAAAUAACCUAUAGCAAUAGAUGAGUAAUCUGUUAUAACAAUACAAAAUAUAUCACUCAUAUAUUGGGAAAGAUGAAUGGUCUGUGCAACAGAUCACACAUCUGUUGCAACAUAUGAGUGAUUUGUCAGAAUAGUAAAUAACCUGCAGCAACAACUGAGUAAUCUGUUAUGAUAAUACAAAAUAUAUCACUAAACUAUUGAGAAAGAUAAAUGGUCUGUGCAACAAGUCACACAUAUGUUGUAACACAUGAGUGAUCUAUUGAAACAGUUAUCAACGAUCAAUAUUGCUUAGAUUUCUUCCAACAUAGAUUCAUAUAUUGCCACAGAUGAAUGAUCAGUUGGAAAAAUUAAGUCUUGGGCAUUUUCUAUUGGAAGAAUUGAUAAGAUAUUAUCCAACAACAGGUUCAUCUGUUGCAUCAGAUCAUUAAUUUGAUGGUUCUUCUGUUGCAUCAGAUGGUUAAUUAUUUGCAUCAAAUUUUUUAUCCGAUGCUUAAUCUGUUGCAACAUAUGGUUAAUCUGUUGCAUCAGAAUUAUAAUCUGAUGGUUUCUCUGGUGCAUCAGAUGCUUGAUUUGUUGCAUCAUAUAACAAAUCUGUUGCAUCAGAUGGUUAAUAUGUUGCACUAGAUGAGUAAUCUGUUGGAGAAAACAAAAUUAGUUCCACGAUUUGUUCAACAAAAAAAAUAGCAAUAUCACCAUUUUUACCAAGAACAAGAACAGAACAAAUCAACCCAAAUUGUUGUUUUGUUUUUAUAAACACAAAUAAUAAAAAUCAAACUUCAAAAAAAUGCAAAAAACAACAAAAAAACAUAAUUCACUUUAAAAAGAGAAGAGAAAAAAUACCAGAAAUUAGGAUUUUAUUCAGGCCGCAUUUCAAAUUAAUGUAACAAAUAUUGAAAUUGUUAACCAAUACUAUAAGAGAAGCUGGCUCAAGUUCCUCUUUUUUUUUUUUCAAAAGUAAAAAGGCCAUAAAUUUUUACCUAUAAAAAAGAAAAUAAAUGAUGAAGAAUUCAAAGUUGUUGUGUUCGGAGAGCAAGGAUGUCACGUCGAUUAAAGGUUGAAGUCAAAAAUAAAUUCGAAGCCCAACUAUUUAUAGUCGGGUGUUAAAUUCGCCGAGGAUUGAAAUGGAAAAUUUGCAGAACAGUUGGUUGGGAGAGAAUUGAGAGAAGUUGUCGAGAGAGGGAUGCGAGAUAGGUUGAUUUGAAUUGAAGAGGAGAACUCGAAGCCCAACUAUUUAUCGCCGGAGGUAGAAGUCGUCGAGGAUUGAAGGGAGAAUUUUGCAGAACUGUUGGUUGGGAGAGAGUUGAGAGAAACUAUUGAGAGAGAGAGAGGAGAGAGGGUGGUUGAUUUGGAUUGAAGAGGGGUAUGGGUUGGGUUGAUUUGUAUUUUUGAAAAGAUUAGAAAGUUUUAAAAAUAUUAAUCAAGUCCACAAUUAACUUAAUCAAGUUUUCUAAUGAUGUUUGACUCUUUAAGUUGGUCAAUGUCACCAAUCCUUCAUUCAAGAUUUAAAAGACACCUUUCCUUCAAUUUUCUCAAGAAACUAAGUCAACUAAAUUGUACUAUUACAUUUUCUUCAGCUAUGUGUUUCUUCCAAAAAUGACAGCAAUUCUUUUACAAAAAAAGAUAGCAACAAAUCAGCAUAGAAAAAUACAAUAAAUAUUUGAAAAAAAUAACAGAUAAAAACAAACAAAAAUUAUACUAAUUAGUCAAGUUUAUUGAAGUGCCCAGUAAAUUUUUUAUUUUGUCUAUGACAAGAAAAUAAAGAAUUUUUUUUUGUAUCUUACAAAAUUUUUCAUCUUCAAUAAUUCGAAAGAAAAUAUCUAAAAGUAAUAAGCCUCUAAAGUACGUGUAUUGAACGUAUAUAUUACGUCAAUUCAUAAAAAAUGUAUUCGCUUCUUUUUACUUAUCACAAGAUUUUGUACUUAAAAUAUACAAUAAUUCUUUUCCCUUUAACAAUAAUAUCAAUUUUAGAUUAGCGUGUGAAAUAAAUCUUAAUCGAGGCUAUACUUACAAAGAUAAAGAACAUUCAUUAUUCAUCAUCAAGAAAUUCAACGUAAUGAAAAAGAAAAUCAAGAAUCGAAAACCACGAAGUUACGUCAAAGAUUCAAUAACAGAAGUUACUUACAAACAUAAAAAGAUAUUUUGUUAUUUUUGAUUAAUAACACCAGCAUAAGAGAAAAAGAAAUCAUCAAGAAAUUCAAUGUAAUGAAAAAGAAAACCCGAAAUUGAAAAUCACGAUUUACGUCAGAGAUACAAUAACGAAAGUUACUUACAAACAUAAAAAGAUGUUUUGUUAUUCUUGAUCAAUUACACAAGCAUAAUAGAAAAGGAAAUUUGAAACUUGAAUAUUAAAUCAAAAAAUUAAGUUAGAAACUCAAUAACAAAGCUACUUACAAACAUAUUAAAAUAAUUUGUUGUACUAUUAUGUGUUGUAGAAGGAAGAUUAUUCAAUUUAUAGAAGUACAACAUCUUUUUUUGUUACUUAAAUAUGGGAUUUGUUUUAUUUUUUUGAAAAUUAAAAAAUAAUUAUGGUAAUAAAUUAUUUAUGAUAAUAUUUAUUUUUGCUAAGUAAAUUAUUUAUGUUAGUAUUUUAAUUUUAUUUUUUAUUUUUUUUUAAGUUUUAAAUUUAAGUAUAUGAUUUAAUUCAAUUAAAGAAGUCUAAUGAUUAUAUUAGAGGUACAAAGGAAUAAGGCAAUUUCUUACAAAUUUUUUCCUCCCUUUUCUUUAGGAAUUUUUGGGUUUUUUUCUAAAGUUCUAAAUUAAAUUAGAAAAAAUACAUAAAGUAGCAUACUUAAGUAUUAAAUAUUAAAAAAUAAGAACACUUUAUCAAAUUACAUUUUGUAGCAUAUGUAUUUGUAUGUAUUUGUAUUUUUGUAGCAACAGUUUGCAAAAAUACAAAAUACAUAUUGAUCAUAAGUGUAGCACCUAAUUUCGUCCCUCUCCGACAUCACUUUUAUCCAUUUUUACUUUAUCCUACCGUGUACCCUCAUCUACAUGAUAAUCCCACAAAAAUACAAAAAAAUAACAAAAAUUCAAUAAAUCCCUAACCUUAUCAUAACAAACUUUAUCCUAAUCACCUACUACCCCACCCUCUCACGUGACCCUCACCCUUUCCUUUUCUAGUCCACAAGUAUAUUCCCUUAACAGAAUUGAGAAAAUGAACUUUCAACGAAACUUCCAAAUGCACACCUCACUCAUGGACCCCACUAUUUUGUUUCUUUUUGUUUUUAUUUUUAUCAAGCACGCACAACAACUUGGGAGGGACCCACAGAGGGAGGAUUCCCAAUUCCCAUUCAAUUUAGAGGGACCCACAGAAGGAAAAAGUCUUGGAUUUUCUUGAAUUCAAUAUAUACAUCAUAUCUUUUUCAUCUUCUUGGUGGACAAAAAAUUGACAAGAGCAGAUACGCCAUUUUCUUUAGCUUUCUUCUUCCUCACAACACAUACACUACACACAGCUUCAACGCAUACACACAGUCACGAUUGAAAAAAGAGAGAUCUACGAGAGAAAAGGGGAGAAAUCGAGAGAAACCAAAAAGAGAGGGAGAGAAUGAAAUCGAGUGAGAGGUAGAGGUGAGGAUCGAAAGGGGAGGUAGAGUCGCGUUUGGUUACUGUUCUGAUGACACAGUUGCCGGAGAACAUCGAUAUGACGUCCUUCAUCGAAAAGGGUCCCUCAUCAACGAUCUCAGUCAAAAUUAGCUUAAAUCACCCGUAAACCCAUCAUAAAUAAAUGGUUAAACAACCAACCUCCACCAGAAAUCAAUAGCCGAGUCUACCGGUAAAACCCACUUUCAUUUUCAAUGAAAUCUCACCGGGAAACAUUAUUUCGCUGACUGUCGAGAUCCAUCAAAACUUUGAUGAGUUCAAACUUCACCAAAAAUAGCAAAUCCGACGAGACCCGUUGCAAAUUGAGUUCGAAAUUUGAGUUUUGGAUUUUAUUUUUUAUGGUUUUCUCCGCUGUUUUAGGGGGUUUUGAUUGAGUUGGCAAGUUCGUAGUCGAGGUUCGAAUUGAGGUUCUUUUGUGCGCGGAUUCUGUGUUUUUUAUUGACUGAUAUUUGGAAUAAAAUCAUCAUCGAGGUCCAAUUCUACUCUUUACCUCUUUUUGUUUUAUUGUUGAUGGUAUCUGAUGCAUUGAUUUUAAUAUUGUGUGUUGGUUGAUUCGUGAUUAUGUGAAUUAUUGUUGUUCUGGUUCAGUAUUUGAUUCUCUUCAUUAUGGAUUGAUUAUGGAUUAUGUGAUGAAAUGAUAUCUCGUUUGAGAAUUAAAAUUGAUUGUUGUGGGGCAGAAGUUAAAAGUUGAUAAAAAUAUUUUUUGUUGUUUUGAUUCAUUGAUAUCGAACUUGAUAGUAUCCUGAUAGGUCGAAUUGGAUAGGCAAAAUAUUCAGGUACGGGUAGGCAAAAGUUAGGAGUGAUGUGUUGAUUCAAUGCAGCGAAUGUUAAAAUGUGUGUUGAAUGGUUUUGUUUUAUCACUUUUGGAUCAAUUGUACUAUUUGGCCGGGGAAUGCCCCGAAGUAUCUAUAUAUCUUUAUUCACCAGGGAAUGUCCUGAGGUAUUUUGUACCCGAAGGACGUUCGUGAUGAAGGCCCGAGGCGUUGGGUAAAGCACGGGAGCGUAGUUAAUGUUAGUGUAGGUUAGAUAGGAUUUAUUUUUGUAUUUUUCUAUUUUGGACUGUAUAAAUUAGACUGGACACUGUACUAUUGAUUCUUUUUGUUUUGUUUGUUUGUUUGAUUGUUUUACGUGUUUUGUGUGGGUUGUACAUUCAUAGUGUCAAAAUUAGCCGAUACGCUCCACCAAGCGAUUUCCCGAAAAAUCAAAAAUGUUAAAAAAAUUUCCUACUAUUUCUUUAGUAAGCAUUCAUAAUUUGAAAACUCCAAAAAUAUUAUUUUCCUUUCAAUAGGAGCUUUGUACAUUUGUAUAUAGUGAAAAUGCCAAAGAGAUUUUCCUUCGUAAUUGUUGGUGUCAGUUUUAGUUGAAGUGGCUAAUUAAAAACCCAAAAAAAAUUUUAUUCGUUUGUCUUUGGUGGUGUCUCUUAAGUUAGGGUCAAUCUGUUAGUUAGUCGAUAUUUGUCCAAUCUGGACGAACUACGCACCCCGGAUUCUCCUCUUUCGGGAUAUGAUAUAUAUAUAUAUAUAUUACUUUAUUGCACUCAUUUCCCGAAAAAUCAAAAAUGUUAAAAAAAUUUCCUACUAUUUCUUUAGUAAGCAUUCAUAAUUUGAAAACUCCAAAAAUAUUAUUUUCCUUUCAAUAGGAGCUUUGUACAUUUGUAUAUAGUGAAAAUGCCAAAGAGAUUUUCCUUCGUAAUUGUUGGUGUCAGUUUUAGUUGAAGUGGCUAAUUAAAAACCCAAAAAAAAUUUUAUUCGUUUGUCUUUGGUGGUGUCUCUUAAGUUAGGGUCAAUCUGUUAGUUAGUCGAUAUUUGUCCAAUCUGGACGAACUACGCACCCCGGAUUCUCCUCUUUCGGGAUAUGAUAUAUAUAUAUAUAUAUUACUUUAUUGCACUCAUUUCCCGAAAAAUCAAAAAUGUUAAAAAAAUUUCCUACUAUUUCUUUAGUAAGCAUUCAUAAUUUGAAAACUCCAAAAAUAUUAUUUUCCUUUCAAUAGGAGCUUUGUACAUUUGUAUAUAGUGAAAAUGCCAAAGAGAUUUUCCUUCGUAAUUGUUGGUGUCAGUUUUAGUUGAAGUGGCUAAUUAAAAACCCAAAAAAAAUUUUAUUCGUUUGUCUUUGGUGGUGUCUCUUAAGUUAGGGUCAAUCUGUUAGUUAGUCGAUAUUUGUCCAAUCUGGACGAACUACGCACCCCGGAUUCUCCUCUUUCGGGAUAUGAUAUAUAUAUAUAUAUAUUACUUUAUUGCACUCAUUUCCCGAAAAAUCAAAAAUGUUAAAAAAAUUUCCUACUAUUUCUUUAGUAAGCAUUCAUAAUUUGAAAACUCCAAAAAUAUUAUUUUCCUUUCAAUAGGAGCUUUGUACAUUUGUAUAUAGUGAAAAUGCCAAAGAGAUUUUCCUUCGUAAUUGUUGGUGUCAGUUUUAGUUGAAGUGGCUAAUUAAAAACCCAAAAAAAAUUUUAUUCGUUUGUCUUUGGUGGUGUCUCUUAAGUUAGGGUCAAUCUGUUAGUUAGUCGAUAUUUGUCCAAUCUGGACGAACUACGCACCCCGGAUUCUCCUCUUUCGGGAUAUGAUAUAUAUAUAUAUAUAUUACUUUAUUGCACUCAUUUCCCGAAAAAUCAAAAAUGUUAAAAAAAUUUCCUACUAUUUCUUUAGUAAGCAUUCAUAAUUUGAAAACUCCAAAAAUAUUAUUUUCCUUUCAAUAGGAGCUUUGUACAUUUGUAUAUAGUGAAAAUGCCAAAGAGAUUUUCCUUCGUAAUUGUUGGUGUCAGUUUUAGUUGAAGUGGCUAAUUAAAAACCCAAAAAAAAUUUUAUUCGUUUGUCUUUGGUGGUGUCUCUUAAGUUAGGGUCAAUCUGUUAGUUAGUCGAUAUUUGUCCAAUCUGGACGAACUACGCACCCCGGAUUCUCCUCUUUCGGGAUAUGAGAUACGUAGGCAACUUAUUGUUGGUUCGGGGAUCUUAUUUCAAAAAUCCAUAAAAAUAUUUUAUUCAUUCUUCAUUUAGAGUAGGUGUUUCAUAUACAUCUUCAAGAGAAAACUACAAAAGAUUUUCCUUUAAUAGUUUCAAGUUUCAUUUUCGAAUGAAAUUCAAAAUUGAAAAAGCCAAAAGAUUUUCUUUGGUAAUUAUAGGUUUUAUUUCAUAUAGAAAUCUGAAAAAUUCGAAAAAAAAAAAUCUUCUUCACUCUACAUUUAGAGUAGGUGUCAUAUACGUCUCUCAAAAGAAAACUACAAAAAGAUUUUUCUUUAAUAGGUUCAAGUUUCAUUUUUGCAUGAAAUUCAAAUAUCAAAAAUCCAAAAAGAUUUUUCUUUGGUAAUCAUAGGUUUCGUUUUGUAUAGGGAGUUUAAACCUGAAAAAUGCAAAAAGAUUUUCAUUAGUUCUUUUGACAAUUUGUUAUUUUUGAAGUUUCAAGAAAAAGAAAAAGAAAGAAAAAAUAGUUUAAUUGGCCAUUUUGGCAAAACUUCACAAAAUAGUUUAAUUGGCCAUUUUGGCAAAACUUCACGAACUACGCACACCUGAUUCUCUUCUCUCGGGGGUGAGAUACGUAGGCGCCCUUCUUGGGUUCGGUGAUCUACUCUAAUAGAAAAAAGGUUUUGAAGAAAAAUGUUGAACUCUAACAUAUUUGUUGCCUCUUGUUCAGUUAGUUUAAGGUGGUUGUUUUGUGGCUGCCUUGCUGGUCCUCCAUAUCAUAUCAAAUCCGAAGAAAGUUUAGUUGUGUCCAAAAAGGAUAUAGAGAGUGGCAUCAUGGAUGAAACAAAGAGUCAGGAAAUUGAGAGUUUAAAGAAAGAGAAUUUGAGACUGAGACAAAUGGUGGAAAUGUACCGAGCUUAGGUCAGUGGGUUGUCUCCACCCCCGUUCCCCAUUUUUGGCCCUACAAAUACCUUGAGUCUUCUACCAAAAUUGCAAAAUCAAUUUCCUACUAUUAUUGAUGCACCACAACAUGCCUUAAAAUCCAUUCCACGUCAAAUUCACCUCAAUACUUCCACCACUCUUUCUUUAGCUCCUCAAUAUAAGUCUACCAUAUUCGUAACACCACAUACCGUCUGUGCUUUUGUUACUCAACCUUCUACUAAGGUUUCCACUUUGGCAAUCAAUCCAACGAUUGUGCUUCCCCAGUCCACUAGUGAAUCCGCAUUCAAUACUCUUGAUGAUCAUUGUUAUACUCUUGAGCCUACAGUUAAGUUAAGUGAACCGCCAAAAUUUCUUACUAAGAAGCCUAGCAUGCUAGAAAAGCUUGAGAAAAUGGUUCGGAAGGUUAAGGGUGUAGAAAAUGAUAUGAAAAGUUCCUUGGGACUUGUGGGAUAUGAAGAUGUUUCAUAUAAAAACUGGGGUAUGUUUCCAAGUGUUGACCUUCUUCCAAGCUUUGAGACAUCAAAAUUUGAGGAGCUUGAUGGACAGAAUAAUUUUGUGAAAUAUUUGGGACGAUAUUGCAAUCGAUCAAUGAAAACUGAAGAAAAGAAAAAGAAAAAUGCCCCCGUUGUCGUGCCAGGGACAAAGUAGAGUUUAAGAGGUCUAUCUUACCAAUACUGUCAGCCUCAAUCUUGAGCUUACAUAUCAAAUCCACUUACUCAUCUGCAGCAAGGUUCCUCUUUUCAAAAUCCAAAGACUUUCAUUCCACUUCCUCAAUGUCCUUUGAAUAAUGCACAAUUGUUUACCCAUCCGUCUUCUUAUCCAAAAUGGCAUGCACAUAUCCCUCAACAUCAUCAUCGACCCCCACAAAUUUACCAAGGAACCUCUAAAUCAACAUUUCAUUCGAGGCCAGAGUUUGCAAUGAUGAGGAAAGAAAAGGAUAAUUUUACUCCUAUUAGGGAAUCUUAUGCAUGUUUGUUCCAGAGAUUGAGACAUAGGGGCAUGAUUACUCCUCUCCUUGGGCACACGCUUAAUCGAUGUUCAAAAAAUUUUAAUCCUAAUGUACGUUGUGCAUAUCAUUCUAAUGCUCAAGGUCAUAGUAUUGAAGAUUGUCGAGAUUUGAAAAGAGAAAUUGAAAAGAUGAUUCAAGAUGGAUCAAUUAUGGUGCAAAAUAUUAACAGUGAGGAAAGCUCUAGUCAUGCUGAUAUGCAAACCAGUGGCUAAUUUAUCAGGCUGAGCAAUUGAGAAGUCACCCCUNNNNNNNNNNNNNNNNNNNNNNNNNNNNNNNNNNNNNNNNNNNNNNNUUUCUGUUGUCCGAAUUAUUUUAGGAUUGUAGUUCGGGAUCGAUCUUGUUUUGUCCCUUUGUUGUUUAUGCUCAAACCCUUCUAUCUUUUGUUUCAACUAAAUGAAGUGUCCCAUUUUCUUUGUGUUUUAAAUAUGUGUUGUUUGUUUGUUUUCUUUACAUAGUACAUUUUUAUGUUGAUUCUAGUGAUAUGACAUGCUAGUAAAAUUUUCAACCAUAUCUUAUAAUUUAGUUUAAACAUGAACAUUGAAUCAGAUGAUUAAAGUUAGAAAAGAGGGCAUAUGAGAAAACAGAUAGAGUGCUGGGGCAUUUGGUGAUUAAGUUGAAGCCUUCUUUGAAAAUUAAGGCAAUUAUUUUGAGAAUUGUGAGAAUAACUUGGUCAUCAAUUUAAAGACAUAUCUUAAUUAAGUCAAGUGGUGAAUCAAUCCUAUGUCAAAAGGAGCAGAAAGAAAAUCAGCUCCAUGAUGUCAUGAGUCCUUCUUCAUGAGGAAUGUACAAAGAAAGUGGAGUUGUAUGUUUGACAAGGGUAGAAGAAGAAUUGGCACACAUGCUUAGUUGAAGUUAGUACUGUUAAAGUGUCACAAAUGAUUUUUAUCUUUUAUUUCAUAUUGCAUGAUAUGUACUUACAUUUUCAAGGAUUGAUAUGAUGAAGGAAUUUCAUUCUGCUAUCCAAACAUUGUGUCAUCCUUUGUUUACCCUAUUUGAGCCUUAUUCUAUUUUAUUUCAUACCCCUCUUUUGGAAUCAAGAUAGAGUCAGUAAAAUUCAAAAGAAAAGUGUCGAGCAAAAGACUAGAAUCAGAAAAGUUUUCAAAAGAAGAAGAGAAAAAAACGUGUCCAAAAAGAGAAAAGUGUCAAGACAAAUAGAGUCAGAAUAUCUAAAUAGAAAAGAAUGUCAACAAA
rnacentral:lncRNA from 1 species